CAAGCUGGUGGCGUCCACGUGCGACACCAGCUUCCACCAGCCGGUGGAGAAGGUGCUGGGUCACCUGGCGCCCGAGGGCACGCGCCUCACAGAAGACCACGCGCGCAACCUCUUCUUCGGCGACUAUCUCUUCCCCGACAACGACCCCAAGAUCUACGACGAGAUCACGGAGCUGGACGCGCUGACGGAGGUGAUGGAGGGCUACCUCAGCGAGUACAACAUGGUCAACAAGACGCCGAUGAACCUGGUCAUGUUCAAGUUCAUCAUAGAGCACAUCAGUCGGAUCAGCCGCGUGCUCAAGCAGGACUCCGGUCACGCCCUGCUGGUGGGUAUCGGCGGCAGCGGCCGACAGAGCGCCACCAAGCUGGCCGCCUUCAUGGACAACUUCGACCUGU